UACGUAGGGUGCAAGCGUUUGUCCGGAAUUAUUGGGCGUAAAGAGCUCGUAGGCGGUUUGUCGCGUCUGCUGUGAAAUCCCAGGGCUUAACCCUGGGCCUGCAGUGGGUACGGGCAAACUAGAGUGCGGUAGGGGAGAUCGGAAUUCCUGGUGUAGCGGUGAAAUGCGCAGAUAUCAGGAGGAACACCGGUGGCGAAGGCGGAUCUCUGGGCCGAUACUGACGCUGAGGAGCGAAAGCGUGGGGAGCGAACAGG
rnacentral:rRNA from 1 species